rnacentral:rRNA from 1 species
CCUAUCAUGCAAGUCGAGCGCAUUCUUCGGAAUGAGCGGCGGACGGGUGAGUACCCCUUGAGAAUAUGCCCUUCUCUAAGGAAUAGCCUCUGGAAACGGAGAGUAAUACCUUAUACGCCCUUCGGGGGAAAGAUUUAUCGGAGAAGGAUUAGCCCGCGUUAGAUUAGGUAGUUGGUGGGGUAAUGGCCUACCAAGCCUACGAUCUAUAGCUGGUUUGAGAGGAUGAUCAGCCACACUGGGACUGAGACACGGCCCAGACUCCUACGGGAGGCAGCAGUAGGGAAUCUUAGACAAUGGGGGCAACCCUGAUCUAGCCAUGCCGCGUGUGUGAUGAAGGCCCUAGGGUCGUAAAGCACUUUCGCCAGAGAUGAUAAUGACAGUAUCUGGUAAAGAAACCCCGGCUAACUCCGUGCCAGCAGCCGCGGUAAUACGGAGGGGGUUAGCGUUGUUCGGAAUUACUGGGCGUAAAGCGCACGUAGGCGGAUUAGUAAGUUAGAGGUGAAAUCCCAGGGCUCAACCCUGGAACUGCCUUUAAUACUGCUAGUCUUGAGUUCGAGAGAGGUAAGUGGAAUUCCGAGUGUAGAGGUGAAAUUCGUAGAU